ACUCCUACGGGAGGCAGCAGUGGGGAAUAUUGGACAAUGGGGGGAACCCUGAUCCAGCCAUGCCGCGUGUGUGAAGAAGGCCUUAUGGUUGUAAAGCACUUUAAGCGAGGAGGAGGCUCUCUUGGUUAAUACCCAAGAUGAGUGGACGUUACUCGCAGAAUAAGCACCGGCUAACUCUGUGCCAGCAGCCGCGGUAAUACAGAGGGUGCGAGCGUUAAUCGGAUUUACUGGGCGUAAAGCGUGCGUAGGCGGCUUUUUAAGUCGGAUGUGAAAUCCCCGGAGCUUAACUUAGGGUAAUUGCAUUCGUAUACUGGGAAGGCUAGAGUAUGGGAGGAGGAUGGUAGAAUU
rnacentral:rRNA from 1 species